CAUAGGUUAAUGAGGCGAACCGGGGGAACUGAAACAUCUAAGUACCCCGAGGAAAAGAAAUCAACCGAGAUUCCCCCAGUAGCGGCGAGCGAACGGGGAGCAGCCCAGAGCCUGAAUCAGUGUGUGUGUUAGUGGAAGCGUCUGGAAAGGCGCGCGAUACAGGGUGACAGCCCCGUACACAAAAAUGCACAUGCUGUGAGCUCGAUGAGUAGGGCGGGACACGUGGUAUCCUGUCUGAAUAUGGGGGGACCAUCCUCCAAGGCUAAAUACUCCUGACUGACCGAUAGUGAACCAGUACCGUGAGGGAAAGGCGAAAAGAACCCCGGCGAGGGGAGUGAAAAAGAACCUGAAACCGUGUACGUACAAGCAGUGGGAGCACGCUUCGGCGUGUGACUGCGUACCUUUUGUAUAAUGGGUCAGCGACUUAUAUUCUGUAGCAAGGUUAACCGAAUAGGGGAGCCGAAGGGAAACCGAGUCUUAACUGGGCGUUAAGUUGCAGGGUAUAGACCCGAAACCCGGUGAUCUAGCCAU
rnacentral:rRNA from 1 species